GUUUCGCUUUCACGGUUUAGGUCGAAAUCUGUCAAAGCAGCCGAAUAUGAGGAAGUUGCCCUCAACGGCGUAACUGGCCGCCGAUUUAAUAAUAAUAAAAAUUGCCCAUACACUCCAAAAUAAGAGGAUAGCAUUGUGCGAGAUGGAAAAAGUAAUCACACCUGAAGUAAAAGUAGGUUGCCGUAUCGCGUCAUCUUUUUCCACGUCACUGAAGGUGGAGCGGUACACACACCUGCCUUUGGUGCGGGCAGUGUUGGAUCGAUUCCCACUCAGUGAUUGUGUCGAUAUCUGCCCUGCAACUGACUGGCCACCAGUUCAGGGUGUAGUCUGCCUUUCGCCCGAAGCUAGCCGGGAUAGGCUCCAGCUUCCCUGCAACCCUGGUGAGAAUAAGCGGCUUGGAUGAUGACAUGACAUUUCAAAAAUUGUCGCGUCAUGACACUAGCCAAUCAGACAGUGUAAAUAGAAGGUAUCAUUUACACACAUAGGCAAAUGCCACAGCCUUGCUCCCCAUACACACCCUCGAGCUUCGUGAAGAAUUUUAAUUGAUAAAUUAAAUCUACCUCUGUUUAGUAAUGAAAGUUAAAACGAAAGAAUUGGACAGGUCUCAAGGCAAAAAAAAAAAAGGAUAAAUGUUCAUACAAUCCAUGUCUCUCUCAUCCAUUGUGAGUAGACAAUAACAAGCAGCAAGAUUGUGCUCAAAUGUCUAACAUGUUUCCCCUCCAUACUGAAUACCGUUUAACAUGGUGUUUAAUAAACAAUUGAUGGUCCCUUUUUAAAUCCCUCCCACAUUAUUUGGAUUCCCACAUAUUUUCUCGGCAGGAAAGCUCCUGCUCCAUUAUCACUGGCUCCAGGACAUGCGCUGCUGGACUAUGAUUGAUUGUUGUAUACUUGUAAAACACGCCCUACUGCGAUCAGGCGUUUUUUUUUUUUUUAAAAAAAGUGACUUAAAGUGCCACUAUCAUGAAAUGCAUCAUUUUUAGUAAGUUAUUAAUGAAAAAAACAGCAGCCAACAUGGAUCCAUGCGUUUUUUUCCCCACCACAAAACAUGAUUUUGACGUAUACAGCUUUUUGUAACUCCCGCCGUGAAAAGGGAUUUGUUUUCGAAAAGAAUCAAAAAGUGACGUACAUGGCAGGACCGCCCUGAAGGGGACUCGUUUGUGUUUGUUAGUUUGACCUCCGGGAAGGUAGCUCAUUGUUCCUUCGUAUUAGCCAAAAUGCCGGCUCGUCGGAUUGCUGGACAUUGCUUGAACACUCGGGAGGAUGGAUCUAGCCUUCAUAAGUUUGCAAGAGACCCGGUUCGUUGUGAAAAAUGGAUUGCACGGGUGCAAAGGACGAGAGCUUCUGCGUCGGGCUCGCGCGGGAAGGCUGCCGCAUUGCGCCCCGCGGACUAACACAGCUUCGGCCAGGCUGACUCAUACAUACUCUCUGAGAGUCUGUUGCCGCCGCGGCAGUAUGUAUGAGCCAGCCUGGCUGAAGCCGUGGUCGUCCGCGAGCCACAAAGCGGCAGCCUUCGCCGGCUUUGUCGCCGUGUCCGCCAGUCACGGCUUCGGCGCCACGUCCGCCAGUCACGGCUUUGGCUGGGGUGGCUCAUCUUCGGGCCGCUUCAUGGUGUUGUCAUCGCUCACGGCUGAGUAUGCUACAUACUGUCAUACCGUCAGGGAGUCUGUUGUUAGUUAGAAGUGAUCUGCAUAUAAUCUAAAUAUGGCUCCAAACGAUAGGAUAAUAUUGGCCCGGACACUUGACUCGAUUGUGAUACGUUCUCUUCUUCAAAAAGAGCUUCCGUGUCCCACAGUACACAUUAGAGGCCACAGCGUGUUUUCAAUGGCGAAUGUCUGGGGUGACAUCACGGACAGUAAAUGCAGCCAAUAUGGCGACCACUUGGAUGUCGAAUGAGACUUCCGCAACUUUGCGCAUGGAUGACCAAUGAAUACUGUAUUUUUGUCUCCACUCAUAAUUAGUUUUUCGUGUAGACAUUGAAGUGAAUAAUGUGAUAUGUAUUUUUCAUUUCACUAUUUUAGAAUGUUUAUAGGGAUGACACGUUACCUUUAAGUGCGGCAGUGUUAAAAUAUCCUAAAUCUCCUUCGGACCCAACCUUGUCCUAAUACCUAAUCAAAACACAUUUUUGUUCAUAAAUAUGUGAUAUCCAUUUGAAAUGGUCAUCUCAUGACUUCUGCGUCGCCUGCCCUUCCCACAAGACAGGAGCCAAUCAUAUUGUAUCCUGCCGAGAAACUACGUGCGAAUUCCCAUAAUGUAACGGUCCCCCCUUGAGUCUCUGACCAAAUAGGAGCACGAGCCUUUGCACUCUAAACAAGCCAAUAUUAGACAAAGGUGCUUAUGUUAGUACCGUGACGUGUCGUCAUUUCAUUGGUUUGGGUUUUACAGGUACUGUACUUUUGGGAAUGUACAGUCAAGACUUUUUUUUUUUUUCUUGACAGAACAUUUUACUCAUGUACUACUGUCAGGUCAUUCUGACAGUUGAACCAAAUGUGACAAAAAGCGUUGUUUAAAAAAAAUUGCA